rnacentral:lncRNA from 1 species
UUUUCUCUUUAGUCAACUUAAGUUUUAUAUUGCUUUAAAUUACAAGAAGGCCAAUCGAAUUAUCUCAGCAAUUAAGAUCUUCUAUGAUUAUAAAUAUCUAUAAAAAGGCUUAUAAAUAAGAUAUAUUAAUUCCCAGUUACCAAAGUCCUAUAGAAUUUUCACCAGAAUACUUACAUAUGUACUUAUUGAGUACCUAUGUAGUUCUAUACUUAUUUUAUUCUCAACAUUAACAUCUAUUUGAAGGCCUUGGUUUUGUAAAACCAUCUGGAAGCCUUGAAUUAUCUGCAUUAAAGAAAAAAAAAAAAAAAACAACCAGGGACAACAACAAAAAACCUUUACCAAUUGUUUUUAUACAAACAAUUUUCCAAAGUGGUAAGGAACGUGAGAAACUUUAGGAAAAUAUGAGAUUUGGAAAAUUGGAAGAGCUAUGCAAAAAAAAAAAAGCUUAAGAAUCUCUGCACUCCAGGCCCCCCAAUCCCAAAGCACAGACAGGGAGAUGCCAGCUGGCUUGCAAGAGGCCAGUAAGCUUCCAAACAGGCAUUACUCAGGGUUCCCCAGUCCUGAAGCACAUUGAGAAGGACAGCAGCUGGCUUUGUAGAAUUCUUCAAAAAGUCCGUACUGGCUGUAACACUUUUAAAGCUGUUCAGCAUUACCUGCACUUCACUAUAGGGCACAGACACUUGAAGAGCCAACACUGAAUACGACUGCAGAACUACUUAAAACUGUAACUGAGCACAGAACAAAACUGAGUAAAUUAGGCUUACAGCAAAACUGCUAUUGUUAUACCACUGCUCUCUGAUGGUGCACUAUAAAAAUUAUUUCAAUAAACAGCUAUAUUCAGAUCUUAAUGCUGCCUUGAAACUGAUUUUUUUUAAGAGAAUACAUAUUAGCAAUUUCUUGAAAAAAGAAAGUUUUACAUUACCACUGAUAGCAGCUCUGAAUGAGAGUAAUGCAUUAUAGUUUUUAAUGAACAAAAAAUACAUUUAUUAUGAUACUUCAAAGCCAAA